rnacentral:rRNA from 1 species
AUUGAACGCUGGCGGCAGGCCUAACACAUGCAAGUCGAGCGGAUGAAGGGAGCUUGCUCCUGGAUUCAGCGGCGGACGGGUGAGUAAUGCCUAGGAAUCUGCCUGGUAGUGGGGGAUAACGUCCGGAAACGGGCGCUAAUACCGCAUACGUCCUGAGGGAGAAAGUGGGGGAUCUUCGGACCUCACGCUAUCAGAUGAGCCUAGGUCGGAUUAGCUAGUUGGUGGGGUAAAGGCCUACCAAGGCGACGAUCCGUAACUGGUCUGAGAGGAUGAUCAGUCACACUGGAACUGAGACACGGUCCAGACGCCUACGGGAGGCAGCAGUGGGGAAUAUUGGACAAUGGGCGAAAGCCUGAUCCAGCCAUGCCGCGUGUGUGAAGAAGGUCUUCGGAUUGUAAAGCACUUUAAGUUGGGAGGAAGGGCAGUAAGUUAAUACCUUGCCGUUUUGACGUUACCAACAGAAUAAGCACCGGCUAACUUCGUG